rfam:Triticum aestivum genome assembly, contig: Triticum_aestivum_CS42_TGACv1_scaffold_112317_2AS
AAAGUACUCCCUCCGUCUCAAAAUACUUGUCGGAGAAAUGAAUAAAAUUGGAUGUAUCUAAAAUUAAGAUAUGUCUAGAUAUAUCCAUUCCUUCGACAAGUAUUUCCGGACGGUGGGAGUAUUAU